rnacentral:rRNA from 1 species
UACGUAGGGUGCAAGCGUUGUCCGGAAUUAUUGGGCGUAAAGAGCUCGUAGGCGGUCUGUCGCGUCGGAUGUGAAAAUCCAGGGCUCAACCCUGGACCUGCAUUCGAUACGGGCAGACUAGAGCUCGGUAGGGGAGACUGGAAUUCCUGGUGUAGCGGUGAAAUGCGCAGAUAUCAGGAGGAACACCGGUGGCGAAGGCGGGUCUCUGGGCCGAAACUGACGCUGAGGCACGAAAGCGUGGGGAGCAAACAGG